CAGCACUCUUCCUAGCGCUAAGGGCGCCGCUGUGAUCCUCCAAACCCGAGAGCACCAGCGGACUGUAAAUGCAGAAGAGCCUGAAGCAAUGACUCACCCAUCUAUCCCAUCUGAACCCACCACGCACAGGACUCGUGUCAUCCUCCUCACGCAUGGCCUACAACAUCAGAUGCAAGAGGACAAGGGACAAAGUUACAGAUUAAACAUUCACUGAUGCAUUAUGGAAAGUAGAAGCAGUGGUCCUCUUAGUGGAAGUCUGAGAUAAAACCAGUUCCUCAACCCACAAACUCAUAGAAGAUCAGACAUCAAGCCAUUUAUGUCAAUGAAGUUAAUUCAAUGCUGAUUUCAUGCAGGACGUCCAAUUGUCAAUGAACCAUGUUCCAUCACAAGCCAGUAACCAGUUGCCAGAGGUGGUCUCAGCCAGUCGAGAAAGGAAGCCCUACUUGUUUCAUCUCAAAGAGUUGAUAUCUGAGAUGCUGAAAAGCAUAAUUCUCUACCUCAAUCGUACACGUCCUCACAGUUCAUUAAUGACCACCAAUGGACAAGUAUCGCUUUUCCACACACCAGUUACAAACCAAAGCUCCAUCAGUCACACACCCAGUCAAUUAUCGGUCAAUUAUCUGAGGCCAUUGAAUUUUUUUCCUAUAAGAAGCUCUGGAAGAUGCCUGCUGGUUCAAUCUGAAAGACACGAGCAUAGUAUUAAAGCUUAACAGCACCAUUUUGGAACACAAGACUUAAGUGGACAGGAGUAGGCCCCUUAUUACAAUGGUUCACUGGGUUUUGGGUCUGCAAUAAUAAAAAGCCAGGAGCUCAGCAUUAUUGGCUCACAAUACGCUCCGGAGUGUGGAUGGAGAAGUGCUGAGUUCCCACAUUGCAGGAAGUGCUGUAAUAAGCGUACCAGUGGCACCGCCCCGCAAAGGCCCUGAUCGAUUGGUCAUUUGGUGCUGGACUUUGCUUGAUGUGACUCUGUGUUGAUGAGAGCAGAAAUGAUUAAGAAUCUUUCUGGGAUCCCUUCACACGUGCGAAAUUAGGUCUGGAGAUGUUGGCUGGUGUUGAAGACACCGUCCACGUACAUGUGUUCAUGGAAUUUCAGCAAGUUCUUUGCAUGGUAAAUGUAAAAGAGAAACAAUUGAUCAAUCUUUUGAAAACCCAAUAUUAUUGCACUGUGAUUGCAGCUAUUUUUGUAUUGCUCCCUUCUUAUUCAGUUGUGUGAAUAGCACAGCGGAAAGGCAGCCAAAGGCAUGAUGUCAUUGUCUUCCUGGCAAAAAAACUAAGCCUACUAAUUGAAGAAAAAGGCAAGCCAGAAGCUAUAAAGAGCAGAGCUGAGGCACAGAGCCUAAUCUUCACUGCAAGCCAUGUGUUUUGCUUCCUGGAUCCUGGCACUUCUGACACAUUAAAACAGGGACCUCACAGACAUGAUUAGAUAUCACAUGACUGCCUUUCCUGCUUUUGUUGAAAGGGAACAAAAAACGGCAGAAUGAAGUGCAGGGAGUGAAGUCGCUUGAGGUUUCAACAGAGUAUUUGGGUCAUUGUAUGUUUGCUAGUCCAAAUAAAGUGUGAAUUAUCAGAGUGCAACAUUUUCCCAUGGGACCGAGGCACGACAAGCUACUGAUCACAGGGCCACACACAUAUCUGCUAUCGAGGGGAAAUUAUAAAUGUUUUUUUCUUUUUUCCCAUCGGAAUUCCUGCAAGCAUGUGAUUGUUUGUCUGAAUAGGACAUUCAGAGGCUGACCUCUACAUACAGGAUUGAAAUAGCAGAGAAUUCACAGA